GAUGGCUGUGCUAUUUCCUCUUUGACUUUUCGUGAGAGAUUAAAUAUAUUUGCCGAGAUAUGGUGCUAUCGUAGGUUUAUUCAGUUGAUAUGGCUGAUAAAAUCUGUGUACAUAUGCCUGUCAAUAUGUUUUUCUAUGUGACGCUUCACAACACAACUUUACAUGAAAGAGGAUGAAACCACCGUGUACAUGAAUGCAAGAAUGGUAGUGAUGUGAUCAAACAAAAAACUGAUUUAUUCUUAUAAAACAAUAAAAACUCAUGUAGAGUGAAGCAAAUGGAGAAAAUUCCAUUUUUUUGUAGUCUGUGGAUAGUUACUAAAUCUUUUUUCUUUUAUGUGCAUACAUCUGUGGCGUUUGAUCGUAGUGUGUCUUGGACUAGUGUAAUGUGGUGCUGCUGAAAAUAGUGUGACUUCUAAGACCCUAUCACAAUGUCGUUUCUAAGUAACUUGAAAAAAGUUCUCCACCUGGGAGGUGGAAAUGAGGCAAAGAAGAAGAAAGUAUUUAACAACAUAAGAAUGGAUUGCAAUCCAGAAGACUUUUGGGAAAUGGUUGGAGAAUUGGGAGAUGGUGCUUUUGGCAAAGUAUAUAAGGCUCACUCACAAGAAAAAAUAUCUUUGCUGCUGCCAAAAUGUGUGCUCUUGAAGGAGAAGAUGAUCUGUCUGAUUUUAUGAUUGAAAUAGACAUUCUAUCAGAGUGCAAACACCCUAAUAUUGUUGAUCUGCAUGAAGCAUUUUUCUAUGAAGGAAAGCUAUGGAUGCUUAUUGAAUAUUGUGAUGGUGGUGCACUAGAUUCAAUUAUGGUAGAAUUAGAGAAACCACUUACAGAACCACAAAUUGCUUAUGUGUGCCAGCAAAUGUGCAAAGGCCUAGACUUUCUGCAUGAAUCAAAGGUUAUUCAUCGUGAUCUCAAAGCUGGAAAUGUUCUGCUAACAAUGGCUGGUGGUGUGAAACUAGCGGAUUUUGGAGUAUCUGCAAAAAAUAAAUAUACAUUACAGAAGCACGAUACUUUUAUUGGAACUCCAUAUUGGAUGGCCCCUGAAGUUGUACUGUGCGAAACGUUUAGAGACAACCCCUAUGAUUUUAAGGUGGAUAUUUGGUCACUUGGAAUAACAUUAAUUGAAUUUGCACAAAUGGAACCACCAAAUCAUGAGAUGUCACCAAUGAGAGUGUUACUGAAAAUUCAAAAGUCCGACCCUCCAAAGUUAGACCAACCUUCCAAGUGGUCAAAGGACUUUAAUGAAUUUAUUGCAAGGUGUCUUAUUAAGGAUCCUACUCAGAGGCCAACAGCUGGUGACCUUAUAAAGCAUCCCUUCAUCAACUGCACUCUGGACUCAAAGCCUAUACGUGAUCUGUUGCUGGAGUAUAAAGCAGAAGUUGUUGAAGAAGAAGUUAUGGAUGAAGAACCAGAGGAGCGGCCCAUCUCCCUGCCGCCAAUGGGCCUGGAAACAAACGAAGAUGAUUCUUCCUCCCACAAGAGUGACACUGAUGUAAAAAUGCUGCCUGACGUUGUGACUCCUGAGGACAGAGAGACUGUAACAAUUCCUGAAGACAAAGACACAGCUGUGAUAUCUGAGAACAAAGAUACAGAAGGGCCGAAGAGAGAAUUUGAGAAGGAAAAUGAUGAAAACGAACGAAAGAAGUUUAAAAAGGAAGAGGAGAGAGACAUCCCUGAUAAAAAGCCUGUGCCCAAGAGACAAAAUAGUGAAGGCAGCGAACGGAGGGCAUCGCAUGAUAAAGGUCCUGCCCCAAGACCACCUGUUACAACAGCUCAGCAAGCCAAAACAAAAAAUGAGCCUCCACCCCCUCCACCAAUGCCUCCAAUGUCUCUCAUCAGUGGUGUGACACAGGAUGAAUCAGAGGAUGCCGACGACGUUCUGCCAGUAACACCUAGUGCUAAAGUUUCUUCUGAAGUUCUCUCCCCAUCUGAGCCAGAAGUCCCAGAACAGCUAGACAAGGAGUUACUGCCUCAGUCAGAUAUUCCAGUGCCAAAUGACAAAAGUUAUUUGGCCCCAACCCCAGUCCGUCCUACUGUUAACAGGGAUUCCACUAGGGAAGAAACUAUAGAUCAUUCUAGUGAUGUCAGUGUCAAAGACAAAGUUGAAGAAAACAUAGCCCAAGUGAGGGCUGUGCAGGAUGACAACUUGGAAAAAGAAAAACGUAGAUCCUCACGAAGUUCUUUAGGAGAUAUUGUUAUACUUUCAGGGCCCAGCACUGUUGUUGAGCCAUCCAGCCAACCAGAAGUUAAGCUAAACAAAUCAACAGUGACUAUAACAACAGACAUGCGUGAAGAUAUGAGUACAGCCUCAGGAAAUGUUACACAAGUUACUGUUGUUACCACCCAUCCCCCUGUGUUGUUACCUCCUUUGGAAGGCCCUUACAUACCAUAUGCAGGCAGGACAACAGAUGAUGGGGAGGUUGUAAUAGUGUCUAAUGAAACAAACAAGACUCUCAUAAAUGAAUCCUCGACAGAUGAAGAUCUUUACCAUUCGUUAGAUUCUUUAGAGACAGGCUCAGAGAAUUUGCCCAUUAGUAUUGUCACAGAGAAACCAGUACGUCUUGAUGAAAGUGAAGUGCUAAUAGUGAGCCCAACAAGUCAUGUCGGUGGUGUAGAUGAAGGAGAUAAUUUAGGUGAUACAAGCCAUGUUUCAGUAGUAACAGUGGGGGAUGAUGAACAAGUUCAUGAUUCUACAUUGCAAAUGGAGAAUAGAAACAUUUCAGGUCAAGAAAAAGAUAUAGGCCACACAUCAAUUCUAGUCAAAGGUACUACUGUAGAGUCAACAGAUGUUGACAAAAUUGGAGACAGUGCCUCAAGGAGUGCGAAAGUUAAUGGAGAAGUUCUGAAAGAAAGAAGCACCAGUGAAGAAGUCCUCAUUGUUGUUAAUAAUUCAACCAACAUACAAAAGGCAAUAAAGGAAAAGAAAGUCCCUGCUUCACUUAAUGAUGUAGACGACAGCUUCCAUUCAGUUUCUAGAUCACAUUCUGAUACUAGCUCAACCCAAAGCAGUGAGCCAGUAACACCACUUUCCAGCACAGGAAAGCUUAUUGACAGGUCGGAUGCUGACAGUGUAACAACUACUGCAAGCCAGGACAGCCAUGGUAGUAACAAGGAAAACCAGCCAAACCGUGAUUCCACAAACUUGGAUGACUUGGAGGAAGUAGUACUGAGGCGGAAGCCAGAUUAUAUGAGGGAAAUGAACCGGGCAAAUCGAACAAAAGAAGAUAUCCAAAUAAUGAAUUUGCGAAAGAAAACUAGAAAAAGAACACGCAAAUUUGAGAUUGAUGGAGUUGUUGUGACAACAACAACUAGUAAAGUUAUAUAUGGUGAUGAAGAAAAUGGAAGGGUUUAUGAUGAUCACAUUUUCAGGAAGCAAGAGUUGCGUGAACUGAAGAUGUUGCAAAAACAGGAGCAGAAACAGUUUCAAGAUCUAUCCUUCAAGGCACAAUUUGCUAGGGAACAGCAGGAUAAACGCUUUGAACAAGAACGGCUGACACUUGUUCGGAACUAUGAAGCUGACUAUGAAGCAUUGGUGAGAGCACAGAAACAGCAAGUAGAAAGAGCAGAAGCACAGCAGGAGGCAGAUCUUCGAAUUGCUUCAAAGAAGAUUCGUGCUGAGCAGGAGAGGGAUCUGAAACAGUUUAGAGAGGGACUGAAACAAGAGCUGAGACUGUUGAAACAAGAAGUAGACUUGAUGCCUAAGGAACAACGUAAGAAUGCAUUCCGUGUUAAAAAAGAACGCCUUGAAGCAGAACAGGAAGAAAAGGAGAAAUUGUUCCUUGAAAAACUGAAUGAAAAUCAUGAGUCGUCAUUGAGAAGACUGAGUGAAACCCAUAGGGAAAAGAUAGCAUUAAUGGAAAGACAGUUCCUGCAGCAAAAGCAACAGUUAAUGCGUGCUCGUGAAUCAGCACUUUGGGACAUGGAAGAGAGACAAAUACUUGAGAAACAGCAGCUUGCCAAACGACAACUUAAGGAUGUUUUCUUCUUACAGAGGCAUCAGAUGCUGAUUCGACAUGAAAAAGAAUUGGAACAAAUAAAGCGUAUGAAUCAAAGGAAAGAAGAGGAACUAUUAAAACGUCAAGCCAUUGAGAAACGUGCAUUACCAAAACGCAUUCGAGCAGAGAUGAAAGCCAGGGAAAUGAUGUUCCGUGAAUCAAUGCGCAUUAGUAUGACUAUUCAGCCCAGCCCUGAAGAUGAGAGAGAGAAGCUUAAGAAGUUCCAAGAAGAUGAAAAAAAAAGAUAUCGUGCUGAACAGCAGAGAGCUGAGAUUAAACAUCAGCGACAGUUGGAAGAGCUACGUGCUACAUCUGAAGCAACAAUUCGUGAGCUGGAACAACUGCAAAAUGAAAAACGUAAAAUGUUGAUGGAGCAUGAGACAAUGAAAUUGAAAGAACAGGAAGAAGGUCAUAGUCGUGAACUGAAAGAAUGGAAAGGUCAACUGCAACCACGAAAAAGGAAACUGGAGCAAGAAUUUGCUAAUGCGAUGGCCGAGCAUGAGCUGAAGUACGGUGCAACCAGCAACACAACCACCCUCUUAUCACCUAUUUCCUUACCAACCUUUGACCAAAAAGAUCCUGUGUCUGCACCAUCAUCCCCUUUUUUGCUUCCACGUUUGUUCCCAAUGCUUAGUAGAUCAUCAUCAGCAUCUCUACGAUCUUUAAGUGCUAGCACCCCACAGCUUCACAAAAUAUAGUUCAGUAACAUAUCUCAAAUUAUACCCAAAUUACACUUUUUAUCAUGUAAUGUGUUUUAAUGCUUCUCAUAUGUAGGUGUAAUUCCCUUCUUGUUUGUCUUCUAUCCUUUGCUUUUUAAACUGCCUUGUAUGUGCAUGUUGUUCGUGUGGGGUGGGGGGGGGGGGGGGGGUUGCUAUCUGCUUUAUUGUGCUUAAAAUUCAAUUUUCACCCCAUUGUAUUCUGCAAUUUGGAAUUUUUUUUCAUAAUUUGUGAUUGUUCAUUUGACAUAGUGAUGUCAAAUAAUUAUUCAUCAGCUUUCACUUCCUCUGUAUAUAUGUCAUAGUCAAGAACAUGUAAUUAGUCUGCUACUGUACACAGGAAGACCUGUUGAAAUAUGCUUUCUGCAUUAUUUUUGCUGUUGGCAUAGUCAGCUUCCAUAGAACAUGUAAUAUUGUAGGUGCCAUAUUUGUGAUGAAAAAUAUAUUUUUAGAACAUUUUAAGUCCUUGUUAUGGCUAAGACAUUUUUUGUGCCAGUUACUUUCUUCCUAUUAACCUGUUUAUCUUUCAAUAAUUUGUCUCACAUUUAUUUUGCUUUAUUGAGUGAUAAAAUAAAGACAUGUAAGAAGUUUUAUCAAUGUUACUUCUGGAUUUUUACAGCUGUCUAGCACCAUAGCUGGUGCUGAAGUGUAAGCUCUGUUGGUACAUUUUUAAAUUUCAUCACUUACCUCAUUCAGACUUGCCAAACAUUAUUGCAUUGCUGCCAAAGAUUUUAACUAUUUGAUACUGUAAAUAUUCUGGAGCAAGUUAGUAUCAUCUAGCUUAUUUGGUCAUAGUUUGUGUUAGUCUGCAUUUAAUUAUUUGUUUCUAAUUUGAACUAUGAACAAAGUUUAUUUUGGGGAAACAAAUGUUAAAGAUUUCUGAUGAUUCAAUUAUCCAAUACUGUUCUCUUCUUAAGUUUUUCACGAGCUCUCCAGUGGCAUAAUGGAAUCGCUAUGAAAUUUUUUUAUUAGGCAUUUACAAAACAUUUUGUAAAAUUUGUGUAACACUGAUCAGAACACACCUUGAUGAUUAAAAGGUAAGAGAUGGCUAUUCAUUAGGAAACCUUGUGCUCGCUCUGAUUUCUGUGUGUUAUCCAACACAGCUUUGGGGUGUUCAGCAUCUCUUUGCAAUGGAGAAAAAGAAUCAGACAUUUAGCUGAUCACACUGAUUCACUUGGUAAUUAACUAAUCAGAAUAAUUAUAUUUGUUAUUCCUUAACACCUGUGUAAAAUUGUUGUAUUGCAACUAAUGUGGUCAUAGGAAGAUUCACAACCUAACCAUAUGUAUUCUUGGAGCCUUUCUUGUCAUUAUUUUGAGCAUUUUAAUCAAUUAAUGGUGUGUAAACAUUCACAUAAAUGGCUGAAGGGUGUAUUUUCUUUAAUCUGUUGGUGUUGGUUGAAUUAACCUCGUCUUCCAUUUAUUCUCAUUAUACAUCCCUGUUCAUUUUCCCUUAUCUACCUGCUGUCCACUCUCCUGAAAAAGAGAUUAAAUGGAGAAAAUUGUUCUUACCAGCGACUGGAGGAACAAUUUGCACAGCAGCUUGAAGAACAGUGCCAGCUGUAUGGACCUGCCAUUUCUCUGCCAAAUGAUCUUCCAGAUCUUUCAAAUAUUGGUUCAACACGAAGCAGUCUUUCAUCUGUUUCAGAAG